AUGAAUGAUGUAGUCUAUGUGAUGAUGAAUGGAGCUAGGAAAUCAUCAUACACUUUUUAUGAAGAUGAAUGGCAAGAAAAUAGAGAUUGUAAUGAUCAUAUGCACGAAGACAUCGAAUCCCCCAAUGUUAAAGAAGAUGUCACUAGUGUUGGUGAUGAUUUGGAUGCUCUAGUCCUAUUAAUGAUGAAGAAUUAUUAG